rnacentral:rRNA from 1 species
UACGUAGGGACCGAGCGUUGUCCGGAAUCAUUGGGCGUAAAGAGCGUGUAGGCGGCCACUUAAGUCCUGCGUGAAAUCUUGCGGCUCAACCGCAAGCGGUCGUGGGAAACUGGGUGGCUAGAGUGCGGGAGAGGAGAGUGGAAUUCCUGGUGUAGCGGUGAAAUGCGCAGAUAUCAGGAGGAACACCGGUGGCGAAGGCGGGUCUCUGGGCCGUAACUGACGCUGAGGAGCGAAAGCAUGGGGAGCGAACAGG